UGGUGAAGGUAGGGGAUGUACAAAAAAUACAGGAACCAUCUAGUUUCUACAGUCUUCACAAUAUAAGACUAUCAAAUUGCGACUGUUUGAGGGAUUUGACAUGGAUCGCUUUUAUUCCAAACCUCAAGUUUCUUUCUAUAGACAAUUGUGAUGCGAUGAAAGAAAUCAUUAAUGUUGAAAAAUUGGGUGAAGUUCCAAGGAUGAUGUUAGAUCUAAUCCCUUUUCAGAAACUCCAAUUUCUUUGGUUAUAUAGUCUAAAGAAUUUGAAGAGCAUCUUUGGGAAGGCCUUGCCCUUCCCACAUCUAAAGGAAAUUUAUGUACUUGACUGCCGAAAGCUUAUGAAGCUUCCACUGGAUGCCAAUAGUGCAAAGGAACAUAAAAUUGUUAUCAGGGGACAGGAAGAGUGGUGGAAAAAGUUGCAAUGGGAGGAUGAAGCCACUCUGAAUGCUUUUCUUCCUUGUUUCAAAUCUUUCUGAUAAAGCAAUCACAAUGGUGAAUUUAUGAGGCACUGCAAAAUGCUGUUGAAUGUGGCAUUAGAAGCUCUACUUUGUGGUGCAAACCUGUGGAAGUACAACUAGUAGCCUUUCUUUCAAUGGACGUUCAAAACGAGGCCAUUCAAAAUGAUCAGCUUGAUAAGAGGAAUGCAUGUUGUAUCACAUUUAACCGCCGAGCGGCAAAGCCUGAUACAGCUUUUGGACAGUAUUUGCAUUUUUAUGUGAGUGCUACAGAAGACAAGCUAGACAAUGCAUGCAGCCUUUUGAAGGUCAAGGAUUCGAACCUCCUGGAUCAACUUUAGUGAUACAUUCUGCUUUACCAUCAGUAGUCAGAUUAAUCUUGACAGCAUGUACUCUAAAGUCUGUGUUGUAAAGAUUUUUAAAGAACUAAUUCAAUUCUUCCUUUCUGUGCCCAAGUUUGAUAUUCAAAAUGGGACUGUGUUCCA